rnacentral:rRNA from 1 species
GGGUAACGGGGAAUUAGGGUUCGAUUCCGGAGAGGGAGCCUGAGAAACGGCUACCACAUCCAAGGAAGGCAGCAGGCGCGCAAAUUACCCAAUCCCGACACGGGGAGGUAGUGACAAUAAAUAACAACACAGGGCUCUUUCGGGUCUUGUUAUUGGAAUGAGUACGAUUUAAAUCUCCUAACGAGGAACAAUUGGAGGGCAAGUCUGGUGCCAGCAGCCGCGGUAAUUCCAGCUCCAAUAGCGUAUAUUAAAGUUGUUGCAGUUAAAAAGCUCGUAGUUGAAUUUCAGGCCUGGCUGGACGGUCCGCCCUUCGGGUGAGUACUGUCUGUGGUCGGGUCCUACCUUCUGGCGAAGCGUCAUGGCCUUAACCGGCCGUGGCGGGGAACCAGGACUUUUACUGUGAAAAAAUUAGAGUGUUCAAAGCAGGCAAUCGCUUGGAUACAUUAGCAUGGAAUAAUGGAAUAGGACAAUGGUUCUAUUUGUUGGUUUCUAGGACCGUUGUAAUGAUUAAUAGGGAUAGUUGGGGGCAUUAGUAUUCAAUUGUCAGAGGUGAAAUUCUUGGAUUUAUUGAAGACUAACUACUGCGAAAGCAUUUGCCAAGGAUGUUUUCAUUAAUCAAGAACGAAAGUUAGGGGAUCGAAGACGAUCAGAUACC